UACGAAGGGGGCUAGCGUUGCUCGGAAUCACUGGGCGUAAAGGGUGCGUAGGCGGGUUUUUAAGUCAGACGGUGAAAUCCUGGAGCUCAACUCCAGAACUGCCUUUGAUACUGAAAGUCUUGAGUAUGGAGAGGUGAGUGGAACUGCGAGUGUAGAGGUGAAAUUCGUAGAUAUUCGCAAGAACACCAGUGGCGAAGGCGCUC
rnacentral:rRNA from 1 species